GAUUUCAUCAUCUUCUCCGCUGGAAACUCCAUUCAAUGGACCUCGUUUUCUGGACAGAGGUCGCCAUCGAGGAAACAGACAUGGCUGCCCCUUGACCUCCAGUGCUCGUAGCAGGGCUCGCAUAGAACGUGGCGACACGCUAGGAAGGCCGUCUUCCUGGCAACAGCUCUGCAGGCACUGCACACCCUGAUGUCGUCGAUGGGUUUAAUGAAGUGCAGUGUGCUCCAGUCGAGGCUUGGUGAGAAUCCAAACACAGCGUGAGAAUAAA